CAGGAUGAACGCUAGCGGCAGGCCUAAUACAUGCAAGUCGAACGAUACCUUCCAGCUUGCUAGAGGGGAAAGUGGCGCACGGGUGCGUAACGCGUAUGCAACCUACCUUAAUCAGGGGGAUAGCCUCUCGAAAGA
rnacentral:rRNA from 1 species